rnacentral:rRNA from 1 species
UACGAAGGGUGCAAGCGUUACUCGGAAUCACUGGGCGUAAAGCGUGCGUAGGCGGUUCGUUAAGUCUGCUGUGAAAGCCCUGGGCUCAACCUGGGAACUGCAGUGGAUACUGGCGGACUAGAGUGUGAUAGAGGAUGGUGGAAUUCCCGGUGUAGCGGUGAAAUGCGUAGAGAUCGGGAGGAACACCAGUGGCGAAGGCGGUUAGCUGGGCAGUUGCUGACACUGAGGCGCGACAGCGUGGGGAGCAAACAGG